GGAAUGGUCACCACCUCCUACUACAGCCGCGCGCUGCUCUACACCACGAUGGGCAUCCCCUGCGGCUUCACGCUCUCCACCUUCCUUGGAAGCAUCAGCCUGUUCCUUGCAAGCCUCCUCUACUUGCGGGCGGCGGUGGCCGGGGAGUCAUGGGUCAGCGGACGCGCUCGACCCCGCCACGAACGCCGCGUCGUCGCCGCCU